GACAGUGGGGAAGGUUUCAUGCCUGGAGUCCAUUCUGUGCUUCUCCUGUAAAGAAAUGGAAGACUUCAGUCUCCAGCCAACCAACACUUCUCAGGUGGACAGUCAGAGGACAGCCAGAAGUGAAUCACUACGAGAAAACAGAUAAGCCUUUCCAAAACAUGCUUGAACCUGUAUGCUACUCCUUGGCGGCAGUUGAUGAUUUAAGCAAGAGUGUCUCCGGGAGCACAUGAUUACUUACAGAAAAUGCAUGCCAGUCAACUGUGUCAUCCACUCCAAGUCCACUUCUCUCAUCCAGGUGACAUCAUCCAGGCUGACAAAGUAAAACCAUCAAGACUAGAAGACAAGAAAUAAUUUUGAAAGCUGAAAGGAAAAUCAAAACGUACAUGUUCUCCAAGAGGAAGACAAAGCAGGUUUUCCAGCUCACUGAUAAUGUUGGGCAUAUUUCAUAUCAAAUUUUGUCAAAAGUUCUCGAGGCUCAUCUUGAGCUCUGACAGACAUUUAUCUACCAAAGGAAUUAAGUCACAAAAAGGAACACAAGACGGGGAUUUAGAUUAUUAAAAGCUAUGCAAUUUUAAAGAUUUUGUGGUGAGUGGAAAUAAAAUACAAAUGACUUGGUUUUCCAGGGCCGUGUAUCUUGUGAGGUUAUUUACACCUAUACAAAAUGGAUGAAAAAUUCUGUCAGAUCAGAAUAGUAAUAUUUUAUACUGAUUCUGCAAACGUGUAAAGGACCACAAAAGGUACAGACAACUGCACAGAGCAUCAACUCCAAACUUUUAGGCUGGCAUCUUCAAAUGGGCCUAAAGGAGUUAAGCACUGGAGCUGGUUAGACAAUGUGUUUUUUCCCAUUGAAAAUUUUGACUCUUCAUCAAAAACCUGAAAACUUCUUGGUUUUCAGGCAAAAAUAUUGCUGACUGCUUCCAUUUUGGGGUGUUUAAGGAAUGUUUAGUUUUCCACCUAAAUUUAGACAGAAAACAUUUCAACAGCGCUAUUAGGCAUCCACUUCCCAUUGCAUUUCAAUAGAAGCUGUGUGCCUAAUUCUCUUAGACACCUUUGAAAAUCCAAGCCCAAGAGCCUACGAAAAAGCAUUCUGUUUUGAUGUGCUUGUGUCAUUACUUGCCUUAUUGCUGUU